rnacentral:rRNA from 1 species
GAUGAACGCUGGCGGCGUGCCUAAUACAUGCAAGUCGAACGCUUCACUUCGGUGAAGAGUGGCGAACGGGUGAGUAAUACAUAAGUAACCUGGCAUCUACAGGGGGAUAACUGAUGGAAACGUCAGCUAAGACCGCAUAGGUGUAGAGAUCGCAUGAACUCUAUAUGAAAAGUGCUACGGGACUGGUAGAUGAUGGACUUAUGGCGCAUUAGCUUGUUGGUAGGGUAACGGCCUACCAAGGCGACGAUGCGUAGCCGACCUGAGAGUGUGACCGGCCACACUGGGACUGAGACACGGCCCAGACUCCUACGGGAGGCAGCAGUAGGGAAUUUUCGGCAAAGGGGGAAACCCUGACCGAGCAACGCCGCGUGAAGGAAGAAGUAAUUCGUUAUGUAAACUUCUGUCAUAGAGGAAGAACGGUGGAUAUAGGGAAUGAUAUCCAAGUGACGGUACUCUAUAAGAAAGCCACGGCUAACUACGUG